GAUGAACGCUAGCGGCAGGCCUAACACAUGCAAGUCGAGGGGGAAGCCCUUUCGGGGGCCGUAACCGGCGCACGGGUGCGUAACGCGUAUGCAACCUACCUUUCACCGGGGGAUAGCCCGAAGAAGUUUGGAUUAAUACCCCCUAAUAUUAUUGGAUUGCAUCAUUUGAUAAUUAAAACUGCGGUGGUGACAGAUGGGCAUGCGUCCUAUUAGCUAGUUGGAGUGGUAACGGCACCCGAGGGCUACGUUAGGUAGGGGUCCUGCGAGGGAGAUCCCCCACACUGGUACUGAGACAGGGGCCAGACUACAACGGGAGGCAGCAUUGAGGAAGAUUGGGCAAUGGUCGGAAGACUGAACCAGCCAUGCCGCGUGCAGGAAGAAUGCCGUAUGGGUUGUAAACUGCUUUUAUAUGGGAAGAAUAAGGCGUACGUGUACGUUUAUGACGGUACCAUAUGAAUAAGCAGCGGCUAACUCCGUG
rnacentral:rRNA from 1 species